rnacentral:rRNA from 1 species
CGUGGAUGAUGAAGGCCUUCGGGUCGUAAAAUCCUGUCAGAUGGAAAGAAGUGUAUAUUACUUAAUACGUGAUAUAUUUGACGGUACCAUCAAAGGAAGCACCGGCUAACUCCGUGCCAGCAGCCGCGGUAAUACGGAGGGUGCAAGCGUUGUUCGGAAUUACUGGGCGUAAAGCGCGCGUAGGCGGUUUUAUAAGUCAGAUGUGAAAGUUCACGGCUCAACCAUGGAAGUGCAUUUGAAACUGUAGGACUUGAGUAUUGGAGGGGGUAGUGGAAUUCCCGGUGUAGAGGUGAAAUUCGUAGAUAUCGGGAGGAAUACCGGUGGCGAAGGCGACUACCUGGCCAAAUACUGACGCUGAGGUGCGAAAGCGCGGGGAGCAAACAGGAUUAGAUACCCUGGUAGUCCACGCCGUAAACGAUGUCAACUAGGUGUUGGGAAGGUUAAUCUCUUCAUUGCCGCAGCUAACGCAUUAA